rnacentral:rRNA from 1 species
GAUGAACGCUGGCGGCGUGCCUAACACAUGCAAGUCGAGCGAUUCUCUUCGGAGAAGAGCGGCGGACGGGUGAGUAACGCGUGGGUAACCUGCCCUGUACACACGGAUAACAUACCGAAAGGUAUGCUAAUACGGGAUAACGUAAGAAAUUCGCAUGUUCUUCUUAUCAAAGCUCCGGCGGUACAGGAUGGACCCGCGUCUGAUUAGCUAGUUGGUGAGGUAAUGGCUCACCAAGGCAACGAUCAGUAGCCGACCUGAGAGGGUGAUCGGCCACAUUGGAACUGAGACACGGUCCAAACUCCGACGGGAGGCAGCAGUGGGGAAUAUUGCACAAUGGGCGAAAGCCUGAUGCAGCAACGCCGCGGGAGCGAUGAAGGCCUUCGGGUCGUAAAGCUCUGUCCUCAAGGAAGAUAAUGACGGUACUUGAGGAGGAAGCCCCGGCUAACUACGUGCCAGCCGCCGCCGUAA